CCCCACAGUGGCUCCUGGAGGGACCGACCCUUCAAACCCUACAACUUCUCUGCCCGUGGUGUGCUCCCAGACAGUGGCCACCUGCACCCCUUACUCAAGGUCCGCUCCCAGUUCCGACAAAUCUUCUUGGAGAUGGGGUUCACAGAGAUGCCUACGGACAAUUUCAUCGAGAGCUCCUUCUGGAACUUUGAUGCACUCUUCCAGCCUCAGCAGCACCCAGCGCGUGACCAACAUGAUACUUUCUUCCUGCGAGAUCCAGCCGAGGCCCUGCAGCUCCCAAUGGACUAUGUCCAGCGGGUGAAACGGACCCACUCCCAGGGUGGCUACGGCUCACAAGGGUGAGGCAGAAGCAGGACUCUUGAGAGGGGAGGGACGGGAUGCUGGAGUUCCAGGACCUCAGGGCAGACAUCCUGCUUUUUCUCCUGAAGCUACAAGUAUACCUGGAAGCUGGAAGAGGCCCGGAAAAACCUGCUUCGCACACAUACCACAGCAGCCAGCGCCCGAGCCCUCUACCGUUUAGCCCAGAAGGUGCAGCUUGUCCUGGGCAGGUGGGUGGUUGGUACUGUCCUAUAGACCUUCUGACCCAGGCCAGGGCCAGGCCUGACCUGGCUAUCACUCCUCCUCCCCAGAAGCCAUUUACACCAGCCAAGUACUUCUCUAUUGAUCGUGUGUUUCGGAAUGAGACGCUGGACGCCACACACCUGGCCGAGUUC
rnacentral:lncRNA from 1 species